rnacentral:rRNA from 1 species
UGGGGAAUUUUGGACAAUGGGGGAAACCCUGACCCAGCAACGCCGCGUGAAGGAUGAAGUAUUUCGGUAUGUAAACUUCGAAAGAAUAGGAAGAAUAAAUGACGGUACUAUUUAUAAGGUCCGGCUAACUACGUGCCAGCAGCCGCGGUAAUACGUAGGGACCAAGCGUUGUUCGGAUUUACUGGGCGUAAAGGGCGCGUAGGCGGCAUGACAAGUCACUUGUGAAAUCUCUGGGCUUAACCCAGAACGGCCAAGUGAUACUGUCGCGCUAGAGUGCAGAAGGGGCAAUCGGAAUUCUUGGUGUAGCGGUGAAAUGCGUAGAUAUCAAGAGGAACACCUGAGGUGAAGACGGGUUGCUGGGCUGACACUGACGCUGAGGCGCGAAAGCCAGGGGAGCAAACGGGAUUAGAUACCCGCGUAGUCCCUGAGCGGGCUGGCAAGGCGCAU